rnacentral:rRNA from 1 species
GUGAACGCUAGCUACAGGCUUAACACCUGCAAGUCGAGGGGAAACGGCAUCGAAAGCUUGCUUUUGAUGGGCGUCGACCGGCGCACGGGUGAGUAACGCGUAUCCAACCUGCCCAUCACUUGGGAAUAACCUUGCGAAAGUAAGACUAAUGCCCAAUGACAUCCCACGAAGGCAUCCGAAUGGGAUUAAAGAUUUAUCGGUGAUGGAUGGGGAUGCGUCUGAUUAGCUUGUUGGCGGGGUGACGGCCCACCAAGGCAACGAUCAGUAGGGGUUCUGAGAGGAAGGUCCCCCACAUUGGAACUGAGACACGGUCCAAACUCCUACGGGAGGCAGCAGUGAGGAAUAUUGGUCAAUGGGCGAGAGCCUGAACCAGCCAAGUAGCGUGCAGGAGGACGGCCCUAUGGGUUGUAAACUGCUUUUAUAAGGGAAUAAAGUGGGUCACGUGUGACUUUUUGCAUGUACCUUAUGAAUAAGGACCGGCUAAUUCCGUG